CAGUAGCCGCGGGAAUACGAAGGGGGCUAGCGUUGUUCGGAUUUACUGGGCGUAAAGCGCACGUAGGCGGACUUUUAAGUCAGGGGUGAAAUCCCGGGGCUCAACCCCGGAACUGCCUUUGAUACUGGAAGUCUUGAGUAUGGUAGAGGUGAGUGGAAUUCCGAGUGUAGAGGUGAAAUUCGUAGAUAUUCGGAGGAACACCAGUGGCGAAGGCGGCUCACUGGACCAUUACUGACGCUGAGGUGCGAAAGCGCGGGGAGCAAACAGGAUUAGAUACCCGCGUAGUCCCUGUCUCUUAUAC
rnacentral:rRNA from 1 species